UACGUAGGGGGCAAGCGUUGUCCGGAUUUAUUGGGCGUAAAGAGCGUGUAGGCGGCCUGACAGGUCUGCUGUGAAAUCCCGAGGCUCAACCUCGGGUCUGCAGUCGAUACGGGCGGACUGGAGUUCGGCAGGGGAGACUGGAAUUCCUGGUGUAGCGGUGAAAUGCGCAGAUAUCAGGAGGAACACCGGUGGCGAAGGCGGGUCUCUGGGCCGAUACUGACGCUGAGGAGCGAAAGCGUGGGGAGCGAACAGG
rnacentral:rRNA from 1 species